GAGCCGUUAGCUCAGUUGGUAGAGCGCCUGACUUUUAAUCAGGGGGUCCAGGGUUCGAGUCCCUGACGGCUCACCA
rnacentral:tRNA from 4 species